rnacentral:lncRNA from 1 species
GUUUUGUUUAUACUUUAAAAAGUAGAUUAAAUUUCUAGUACACUGAAACUUUAUGUAAAUAAUAUUAGUUCUUUGUCACCAUUUGAGUUAUUUAAAAUAUACUCAUUAAUUUUUUAUUUUUUUUAAAAUUGUGCAUUGACUGUCAUCAAUGUUCAUGCUAUACCUACAUACACACACCAGAAGAAGCUUCUGUUUUACUUGUAUUUCUAUCAAACCAUUUGUUCCACCAUCAAUUUCUAAUAACUGGACAUAUCAAAAUCAUAUCAACCAAAACAAUUUUCUGUACAUGUUCGAAUCACAGUCAAAUUUCAUGAGUAUCCAAUAUCAAACUUUCCCCC